rnacentral:rRNA from 1 species
UACGGAGGGGGCUAGCGUUGUUCGGAAUUACUGGGCGUAAAGCACGCGUAGGCGGCUUUGUAAGUUAGAGGUGAAAGCCCGGAGCUUAACUCCGGAACUGCCUUUAAGACUGCAUCGCUAGAAUCGUGGAGAGGUGAGUGGAAUCCGAGUGUAGAGGUGAAAUUCGUAGAUAUUCGGAAGAACACCAGUGGCGAAGGCGACUCACUGGACACGUAUUGACGCUGAGGUGCGAAAGCGUGGGGAGCAAACAGG